GGGGAAGGGUCUGGGUACAGCCUCGGUGGCACAUUCCUGCAUUGCUCUGCUGUGAAUUCCUGAAAGAUUCCUGUGGAAAUGCAUCCCUAAGCAUUGGCAGGCAGGAUUUCGGGUGCGACAUCCCAAAGUUGGAGACUCCCCAAAUCUCUGCUCUUGCUAAACUCACCUGCUGUGUCCAGGAUUCCCUUCUCUCCGGCAUCCCAGCCCCUCAGCAGGAUGAUGGAACACCCUGAUCAAGGAUCGUGGGGUUCUUCUCCUGGAUGCUGUGUAGGGAUGCCCCCCAAAAUUCCACACUGCUCCUCCUGCAGCAGGGCUGUGGAGCUGUUUCCUCUCCUCUCUGUCCUGGAAGAUCCCUUCCUUUCUGUCUCCCUGAUCCAGGGGCUGCUUUUCCAGGCCGGGCUGUCCCCAGUGUCCUUGUGUUUCCUUGUGAGCUGGUAAUUCCCGUUGUCCCAGCAGCUUUUCCUUGCUUUGUAAUUAAUGAAUCCACCACUGGAAGCAUGUUGUCUGCCCCUUCAGAUCCCACAUUCCUUUCCCUUGCCCUGAGGAUCAGGAAAGCUGGGAUGUGGCUGUGCUGGGGUGGGAAGCACACCAGGGAAUGGGACACUGGAGUCACACAUCCGAGGAGUUCCUGGGUCCAGCCAUGGACAUGUCUGCUCCAAACAUCCACUUGCCCUGGGACACCUGGAACUGGAGCAGCUGGGGGAUGUUCCCAGUCAUUUAUCUGGUGUGGAGCUUGGGAAGAUCCACGUGGCAUUCCCGUGCCGAAGGACAGCUGUGUGUUGGCUCCAGUGGUUUUCCAAACUUGGCGCUUCGGGGUUUGGCAUUUCCCGUUUUUCCCAGGGAAAUCCACUUUCCAGGUCAUUUUUUCUUUGUCUGGGGUCUCCUUGGAACAUCCCUGCCUGUUUCUUUGGCAUUCCUUGUUGAGUUGCCCCAUCAGCUCCUCGGGGAGGUACAAAACCACAGAUCCUCUGUUUACCUGGAAUAUAUUGCUGCAUAUGGAGUUGUGUUUCUCUUACCUGGAAGGUUUCACAC
rnacentral:lncRNA from 1 species